AGCUUUGCGCAGUGGCAGUAUCGUAGCCAAUGAGGUUUAUCCGAGGCGCGAUUAUUGCUAAUUGGAAUGUAUCCCCUGUAAGUUUUUCCUCUUUUCCAUUUUCAUCCUCUAUCACUUGUUUUCUUCUUUGUAAGAAGCUCUUGCUU